rnacentral:rRNA from 1 species
CGGCCCGGCCAUAGCGGCUGGGUAACACCCGGACUCGUUCGAUCCCGGAAGUUAAGCCAGCCGUGUUAGGUGUGGCUGUGGCUUCCGAAAGGGGCCGU